ensembl:miRNA Mir193b microRNA mir-193b
GUGGGCCCAGAAUCGGGGUUUUGAGGGCGAGAUGAGUUUGUGUUUUAUCCAACUGGCCCACAAAGUCCCGCUUUUGGGGUCAU